rnacentral:rRNA from 1 species
GGGUAGCAAUACCCAGGCAUAAUGCUCAGUAACACGUCGAUAAUCUGCCCUUAGGUUGGGGAUAACCUCGGGAAACUGAGGACAAAACCCAAUAGGAGAUAUUUUCUGGAAGGAUUUAUCUCUUAAAAGCAAUGCCUAAGGAUGAGUCGGCGGCGGAUUAGGUAGUUGGCGGGGUAAAGGCCCACCAAGCCGAAGAUCCGUACGGGCCCUGAGAGGGGGAGCCCGGAGAAGGGCACUGAGAUACUGGCCCUAGCCCUACGGGGUGCAGCAGGCGCGAAAACUUUACACUGCACGUAAGUGUGAUAAGGGUAUUCCGAGUGCUUAUGCACAGCAUAAGCUUUUGCCAAAGGCAAAAACUUUGGCGAAUAAGUGGUGGGUAAGACCGGUGCCAGCAGCCGCGGUAACCCCGGCGCCACGAGUGGGAAUCGAUUUAUUGGGUCUAAAGCGUCCGUAGCCGGCUUGGAAAAUCUUUUGUGAAAUUGCUAUGCUUAACGUAGCAACGUGCAGAAGACACUACUAAGCUCGGGACCGGGAGAGGUUUGGAGAAUGCCAAGGGGAGCGGUAAAAUGCUAUAAUCCUUGGUAGACUACCAGUGGCGAAGGCGCCAAACCAGAACGGAUCCGACGGUGAGGGUCGAAAGCUAGGGGAGCAAUCCGGAUUAGAUACCCGAGUAGUCCUAGCUGUAAACGCUGCGAGUUAGGUGUUGCGUAUUCCUCGUGAAUACGCAGUGUCGAAGUGAAGAUGGUAAACUCGCCACCUGGGGAGUAUGGUCGCAAGACUGAAACUUAAAGGAAUUGGCGGGGGAGCACCACAAGGGGUGCGGCGUGCGGUUUAAUCUAAUUCAACGCAGAGCAUCUCACCAGGGGCGACGGCAGGAUGAAAGUCAGAUUAAAGGUCUUACUUGACGAGCCGAGAGGUAGUGCAUGGCCAUCGCCAGCUCGUGCUGUAAGGUGUCCUGUUAAGUCAGGCAACGAGCGAGACCCAUACCUACAAUUGCUAACGAGUUCUUAUGAAUGAUCGAGCACGUUGUAGGGACUGCCCGGGAAACCGGGAGGAGGGCGUGGGCUACGGUAGGUCUGUAUGCUCCGAAUCUCCUGGGCGACACGCGCGCAACAACGGUAAGGACAAUGGGAUACGACACCGAAAGGUGAAGUUAAUCCUCGAAACCUUAUCUUAGUCUAGAUUGAGGGCUGUAACCUGCCCUCAUGACAUUGGAAUCCCUAGUAAUCGGGUGUCAUCAUCGCCCGGUGAAUAUGUCCCUGCUCCUUGCACACACCGCCCGUCAAGCCACCCGAGUAGGGUUUAGAUGAGGCUUUGUUUCAAAUGAAGUCGAAUCUAAGCUUUGCGAGGAGGGCUAAGUCGUCACAGGGUA